GCUGACUCAGACGCCAUAAAACCUAUCACGCUGUAGCCUCUAGAAAUGUCUUAUGGCGAGUCCACGUCGAUGGGGUAUAUUCCUCGGUAGAUCGGCCAUUCCUAGAAAUCUAGACGAUAGAAAACAGUAGUCCAGUGCAGUGGGAGUGUUACCCACCAGCUCACAGCACCAAGGAGAUGCCUCUCCUCACUUCGCAACUGCAAUAGUACCAGCUUCUCUCUUUCUCUUAUGCACUCCUCACCAAACGUGCUUGGGGCGUCGAGAUUCUCCAAUCCAACUCACUGUCUCAGGAAGGCGUCCUUGCGUGCCCAAGAAAGUGGCAAGCCCUAGGAUUCUUUCUCGGCUCGUGGCAACAGGAUCGCGACGACCCACAGCGUCUAGCAUUCUCUUUUCGUGGAGGUGCCAGCGAACAAAAAAAGGAUUUUCUCGUCCACUGGGCCAUCGAUCAGUCGCCGCGGCAGCGCGCAUUUCAUCGAGGUGAGCUGGAAAUCAAUCGCUGCCGGGGUUCUUAUCCUCCAUCCACGUGAUUAGGGCUCUCGGGUCCACUCGGCAUUGGAGCUCGCGUAGAUGAUACUUCGGCGGCGACGAUUCCUCCAGCGACGCGGCGGCGGCAUCAGGUUCGAUUUAGAACAGGGACAGGUUGUGGAGGAAUG
rnacentral:lncRNA from 1 species